GAUGAACGCUGGCGGCGUGCCUAACACAUGCAAGUCGAGCGAGAUUGAUGUGAUUAACCUUUCGGGGGAGAGAUCAUCAUGAAAGCGGCGGACGGGUGAGUAACGCGUGAGUAACCUGCCCCAUACACAGGGAUAGCCAUUGGAAACGAUGAUUAAUACCUGAUAACACAUAAGAAUCACCUGGUUUUUAUGUCAAAGAUUUAUCGGUAUGGGAUGGACUCGCGUCUGAUUAGCUAGUUGGUGAGGUAACGGCUCACCAAGGCGACGAUCAGUAGCCGACCUGAGAGGGUGAUCGGCCACACUGGAACUGAGACACGGUCCAGACUCCUACGGGAGGCAGCAGUGGGGAAUAUUGCACAAUGGGCGCAAGCCUGAUGCAGCAACGCCGCGUGAACGAAGAAGGCCUUCGGGUCGUAAAGUUCUUUUCUUAGGGAAGAAAAAUGACGGUACCUAAGGAAUAAGCACCGGCUAAAUACGUGCCAGCAGCCGCGGUAAUACGUAUGGUGCAAGCGUUAUCCGGAAUCACUGG
rnacentral:rRNA from 1 species